GUUGUCGUCACGCGAUAGAAACGCGAGCGACCUCGGGGUGUCACUCUGGCCAAGUCGCUCUGGGCUUCGGGAGCGACUUAGAGUGGUCGCUCUGAUAGGUCGCUCCGGGUCAGUUUUCGGCUUCCACCGAGAUGAAAUGGCGAGUGACUUCUCCGCAUCGCUCUGGUAAGGUCGCUCUGAUAAGGCAGGUCAGAGCGACUUGACGGUGUCGCUCCGGGAAGUCGCUCCCAACGCUCUGCUUGUCCAAUGAUCACCUUUACACCUCUUUCGAGCUUCAAAUACACCCAAAUGUCUCCGAGAACUCCAUGCGGUACUCCAAUACCUAAUAAAGACUUAUGUAUGCAAAAUGCAACCUAAACAUGGCUAAAUUCUAGUCUAUAUGAUCAAAAUGCACAUGGGUGAAUGGAUAAAACAAUGGAAAUAUGCAAGAUAUCAGCUCUCUCAUCUCAUCUCUGACGCUGACCAUGAGCUCUCUCAUCUCCACCGAUUUGGGUUUCAAGCAUUGCUGAGGUAACUAAGACAAGAAGAAGCUGUUUUUGUGUUUCAUGAGUUUUUGAGAAUGGGUUUUGGAUCUGAUGGCGAAAGAGAGUGGGUUUGUUCUGAUGUAAUCUUUUGUGUCUUGUGAUAGACUGAUAGGAUUUGUGUUGUCUGUGUACAAUUAAGCUGAUUCUCUAGAUUAAGCAUGUCUUUAUUCAUUUUCUCUGUUGAUUUUGAUUCUGUUAUCAGUGUCUUGCUACUGUUUUUGAAGUUUAUUGGGACUGAAUAUUAAUGAUAAUUGAAGUUCUGAAUCCAGAAUACUUGGUAUUCCUCGUAUAGAAUCUGAAGUUGAAGGUUCUAAGCUUUUGUUUUGUUAUAGCUGAAGAGGUGGCUACUUGCUACUGAGUUAAAUGGAAAAGAGAGGUAUAAAGGAGACAGACUUUGUUGUUGAAGAUGUUGUAUCCAAGCUUGUGAAGUUUACUGAACAAAGCAAAGCCAUGAAGGAAAUGUUUGGUCUGGCCUUCACGCAUCCUUCCUUGUUGACAUCAAGAAAAUUCUUUAUGAGUUUAUUUGUUUGUCAGUGUUAAAAAAAAAGAGUUUAUUUGUUUGUCUUUUGAUUUUGAAGAGGCCAGCCAACAUUGUGAAACUGAUAUAUUUUUCAGUCGAUAAUCUUUUGUACCAUAAACAUGUAAACAUAAUCUCAAACUGACACAUCUAAUGAAAUCUGUUGACCAAA